UUUCCGUAGGUGAACCUGCGGAAGGAUCAUUAUUGUAUAACCGAGGUGCGAGGGCUGUCGCUGACCCGAAAGGUCGUGCACGCCCGAGUGCCCUCACACAUCCAUCUCACCCCUAUGUGCACCACCGCGUGGGUCCCCCUUUGGCUUGUUCGGAGGGGGGCUUACGUUUUCACACAAACUUUGUAUGCAGUGUAGAAUGUAUUUUUUGUUUUUGCGAUCACGCAAUAAAUACAACUUUCAACAACGGAUCUCUUGGCUCUC
rnacentral:misc_RNA from 1 species